AUCGCUUCUCGGCCUUUUGGCUAAGAUCAAGUGUAGUAUCUGUUCUUAUCAGUCAGAGCUACACAUCUUGGUCCUAAGAGCAGAGUCGUGAUCGCUCCAUUGGGUGGUGGAUUCUGUCAUUUUUGACAGCGUAUUCGUACACCCAGCAGGAGAAAUAUCACAAACAGUUCUUUUUCUGGAAGUCCU
ensembl:snRNA U2 U2 spliceosomal RNA